CCUAACGUACUUACAGGGUUGGCAUGUUCAUAAAGCCACGGGCUUGUCAUUGCUGCAGAGGCAAGGAUCAUAUUAUCUUUAAGUGUGCCACUUGGACAGCGGGCCAGCAUCACUAUUUGCCAUCCUUCUAGCUCAAGCCCCACGUUAACACAGAAGAUUCUUCAAUAAAAUUACUGGGGAAAAAGUGCAUCUAAACUCCUCCUUACAGACUGUACCAGUAGAUACCAGUGGAACCAUACCAGAGGAUCUGGGUACCUCUGCCCCGGUGACCGUGCCCAUUUUGCCUUCAUCCCCAUGCUACUACAGGUCCACCCACCUCUUCUUCACUUCUGCAGGCCAAAUUCACUGCAUCCACUGUCACCCCACAGAUCCUUUGACUUUCUUCUACAGUACCCAACUGUUCUCAUUGAUGUCAAAUUUAUAUUCACAAAGUACAGUUUGCCAUUGCCCUGCAUACACCAAUGGGCUUUUAAUGGCCCUGAGCAGCCUCACCUGGAACCUCCACCCCACAACUUCCCUCCAUGGUCCAGGAGCCCCAUUGCAGCUCAGCCUGGGACCCUCAGCUGUAGGUACAGCUGGCUCGCCUCAUCUCUGGCCCUAUUUCUAGGCUGGACCUUGGAUUUACAAUGUAGAUAGCUUGCGUCCAGCCCCACCUCUCCAUGCCUGAUGCUGUAACCUUGUUUGCAGCCCUGCCUCUGUCUCUUCUACUCCUGCUGGCAGCAACCUGGGUGGACCCUGGACCUUGGCUAUCUCCUCCCUGUGUCUGGGAGUGUGGGAGCACCCUGAUGCCAGCACCCAGCUCAGCAUUUGGUUCAAUUCUGAAGGAACUUGGCUAAUUACAGCAAACCCUUUCUCCUAUUUGCUGCAUGGAGUGUCACACCAGUAAGGGGAACAAAAGCACCAUGGGCAAUAGCAGGAAGGGUCCAAACCCCUCAUCUUGAGCUAGAACAAGAAAAUUAAUAUCCCGAAUGCCAACGGUUAAUGAUGCGAAGAACCACGCUGGCGCCUGCUGAUGUGAGUACAUCGGAUGCGGCCGAGCAGGAAGGGAGCUCGGAGACACUCGCUGCUGCUUUUUCUUCAGCAGCCUUUUCACGUCUCAUUAAGCAAUGUUUCACAGAUAGCUUCCAGACUAGCUAGCAGGGCUCCAGCGAGAAAUCAGUAUCCUCCAAAAACUUCUCAAAGGUUCCCACUGAUGCAAUUAGCUCUUUUGAGACCCUGCCAGUCUGCGCUUCCCAUGCAGCUUGCGCUUUCACGUGAGCUCUGCUCAGUGUUGCAACACGGGGAGACCUGAGCCAACCUUCAGCAGGCUGCAGCAGGUGCUGGCUGCACGCAGAGGAGUUGCAGGGACUCUGUCAGCCUGCAGAGUUGGAAGGACUCUGUCAGUCCACGGUGCUGCACGCUGCCAGGCUCUGCUCCCCUGCGGCAGCGUAACUCCUGCAGAGCCAGAGCGAGCAUCCCCUGCUGCAUCCCGGGCUGCAGCACUGACAAGCAGGUGGGGCUGUGGUUUGGUCUGCCUACUCAAUUCCUUGUUCUGUUGGGAUUUUACGAUGGUAAUAGAAUAGGAGGGAAAAUUAUGGGCAAAGUUUAUCAUCAGUAAAGACACGAAGCCGUUCAUUUCUUCCAGUCUUAUUUCCUCACGUGGGUGCACACAGUGAUAGAGCAGAUAUUACAGUUUGCUCUGUGAUCACUUUAAAGCGAUCUAUGAUAAAUCAAACGUUUUGGAGGCUUGGUUUUCACUUAGGUCAGUGUGACUUGCCCAAUAGCCACUAGUGCUAGAGGAGGGGAGCAGUGGCCAGGAAGGAACAGGGAAGCUCGGGGUCAGCCGCUUUGGCACCAAGACGGCAUCG